AUACGGAGGAUGCGAGCGUUAUCCGGAUUUAUUGGGUUUAAAGGGAGCGUAGGUGGGAUAUUAAGUCAGCUGUGAAAGUUUGGGGCUCAACCUUAAAAUUGCAGUUGAUACUGGUUUCCUUGAGUACGGUACAGGUGGGCGGAAUUCGUGGUGUAGCGGUGAAAUGCUUAGAUAUCACGAAGAACUCCGAUCGCGAAUGCAGCUCACCGGGCCGGAACUGACACUGAUGCUCGAAAGUGCGGUUAUCAAACAGGAUUAGAUACCCUGGUAGUCCGCACAGUAAACGAUGAAUACUCGCUGUUUGCGAUACACGGUAAGCGGCCAAGCGAAAGCGUUAAGUAUUCCACCUGGGGAGUACUCCGUCAACGGUGAAACUCAAAUGAAUUGACGGGG
rnacentral:rRNA from 1 species